UGGAUGAUUGGUUCAUCU
rnacentral:snRNA from 1 species